UCCGGAGUAGCUCAAUGGUAGAGCGGGUGGCUGUUAACCACUAGGCUGGGGGUUCGAGUCCCUCCUCCGGAG
rnacentral:tRNA from 2 species